rnacentral:lncRNA from 1 species
AUUCGAUUUAAUGUAAUCAUUUUCUCCCCAGUGCUAAGCCUCUGUGAAUGGUGUCCUCUGCAGCCACUGUUUUGAAGAACUUAAUACAAGGGGGAGAAACACCUGGCAUUAACUGACAGUAAAUUAGGCUCAUUGUCACUUUGGGGGGAAAAUUGCAAUUUAAUCUUUGAUCUUCUAUACAUCCUAAUUCCAAGGAACAUUUAUCAGCAUUAUAAAAUGAACCAACUUUAGGAAUUUAUAGAAAUAUUGACCUCAAUAUUUAGAUGUAGACAUACUUAAAAGUACACAUGCACAUUUGAAAUUUGAGCUAUAGAAUGGAAUUCAUCUUUGUUUCUUUCCAAGCAACAGUGGGAUCUAUUUUGAAUGUGUUUACACUAAUAGCAAAUAGAUUUUGGUACACAUUUAUAAUUUAUUUAAAUCAAAUCUUUCAAAGAAAGACUGACCUU